rnacentral:rRNA from 1 species
AGAGUUUGAUCAUGGCUCAGGAUGAACGCUAGCGGCAGGCUUAACACAUGCAAGUCGAGGGGUAUAGGUUUUCGGACCUAGAGACCGGCGCACGGGUGCGUAACGCGUAUGCAAUCUACCUUUUACAGAGGGAUAGCCCAGAGAAAUUUGGAUUAAUACCUCAUAGUAUUAUUGAAUGGCAUCAUUUAAUAAUUAAAGUCACAACGGUAAAAGAUGAGCAUGCGUCCCAUUAGCUUGUUGGUAAGGUAACGGCUUACCAAGGCAACGAUGGGUAGGGGUCCUGAGAGGGAGAUCCCCCACACUGGUACUGAGACACGGACCAGACUCCUACGGGAGGCAGCAGUGAGGAAUAUUGGUCAAUGGGCGCAAGCCUGAACCAGCCAUGCCGCGUGCAGGAUGAAGCAUCUAUGGUGUGUAAACUGCUUUUGUACGAGAAGAAACACUCCUACGUGUAGGAGCUUGACGGUAUCGUAAGAAUAAGGACCGGCUAACUCCGUGCCAGCAGCCGCGGUAAUACGGAGGGUCCAAGCGUUAUCCGGAAUCAUUGGGUUUAAAGGGUCCGUAGGCGGUUUUGUAAGUCAGUGGUGAAAGCCCAUCGCUCAACGGUGGAACGGCCAUUGAUACUGCAAGACUUGAAUUAUUGGGAAGUAACUAGAAUAUGUAGUGUAGCGGUGAAAUGCUUAGAGAUUACAUGGAAUACCAAUUGCGAAGGCAGGUUACUACCAAUAUAUUGACGCUGAUGGACGAAAGCGUGGGGAGCGAACAGGAUUAGAUACCCUAGUAGUCC